rnacentral:rRNA from 1 species
UCCGCUAACGAGCGCAACCCUCGCUGUGUGUUACAAGUGUCACACGGAACUGCCGGUCAUAAACCGGAGGAAGGUGGGAUGACGUCAAGUCAGCAUGGCCUUUAUAUCCUGGGCUACACACACGCUACAAUGGGAAGGGACAAUAGGUUGCGAAGCCGCGAGGCGGAGCCAAUCCAGCAAAACUUCCCUCAGUUCAGAUUGCAGGCUGCAACUCGCCUGCAUGAAGUUGGAGUUGCUAGUAACCGCAGGUCAGCAAUACUGCGGUGAAUACGUUCCCGGGCCUU